GCAUAUCAAUAAGCGGAGGAAAAGAAACCAACCGGGAUUGCCCUAGUAACGGCGAGCGAAGCGGCAAAAGUCCAAAUUUGAAAUCUGGCGUCCUACGGGCGUCCGAGUUGUAAUUUGAAGAUGGUAACUUUGGGUUUGGCUCUCGCAUAAGUCCCUUGGAACAGGGCGUCAUAGAGGGUGAGAAUCCCGUUCAUGGUGAGAUGCCCAUUCCUAUAUAAAGUGCCUUCGAAGAGUCGAGUUGUUUGGGAAUGCAGCUCUAAGUGGGUGGUAAAUUCCAUCUAAGACUAAAUAUUGGCGAGAGACCGAUAGCGAACAAGUACAGUGAUGGAAAGAUGAAAAGAACUUUGAAAAGAGAGUGAAAAAGUACGUGAAAUUGUUGAAAGGGAAGGGCUUGAAGUCAGACUUGGUAUUCAGUGAUCAACUGUCUCUUGGGACUGUGCACUCGCUGUUUACUGGGCCAACAUCAGUUUUGGCGGCAAGAUAAAGGUUUGGGAAUGUGACUCUUAGGAGUGUUAUAGCCCUUUCUAAUAUUGCCAGCUGGGACUGAGGUCUGCGCAUUUUUGCUAGGAUGUUGGCGUAAUGACUUUAAGCCACCCGUCUUGAAACACGGACCAAGGAGUCUAACGUCUAUGCAAGUGUUUGGGUGUUAAACCCG
rnacentral:rRNA from 1 species